CACAGGUGCUGCAUGGCUGUCGUCAGCUCGUGUCGUGAGAUGUUGGUUAAGUCCCGCAACGAGCGCAACCCUUGUCAUUAGUUGCUACAUUCAGUUGGGCACUCUAAUGAGACUGCCGGUGACAAACCGGAGGAAGGUGGGGAUGACGUCAAGUCCUCAUGGCCCUUAUAGGUGGGGCUACACACGUCAUACAAUGGAUGGUACAAAGGGUCGCCAACCCGCGAGGGGGAGCCAAUCCCAUAAAGCCAUUCGUAGUCCGGAUCGCAGUCUGCAACUCGACUGCGUGAAGUCGGAAUCGCUAGUAAUCGUGGAUCAGAAUGUCACGGUGAAUACGUUCCCGGGUCUU
rnacentral:rRNA from 1 species